AGGACGAACGCUGGCGGCGUGCUUAACACAUGCAAGUCGAGCGGAAAGGCCCUUCGGGGUACUCGAGCGGCGAACGGGUGAGUAACACGUGAGCAACCUGCCCCUGACUCUGGGAUAAGCCUAGGAAACUGGGUCUAAUACCGGAUAGUACCCCCUGUUUCAUGGUGGGGGGUGGAAAGUUUUUCGGUUGGGGAUGGGCUCGCGGCCUAUCAGCUUGUUGGUGGGGUGAUGGCCUACCAAGGCGACGACGGGUAGCCGGCCUGAGAGGGCGACCGGCCACACUGGGACUGAGACACGGCCCAGACUCCUACGGGAGGCAGCAGUGGGGAAUAUUGCGCAAUGGGCGAAAGCCUGACGCAGCGACGCCGCGUGGGGGAUGAAGGCCUUCGGGUUGUAAACCCCUUUCAGCACCGACGAAGCGAAAGUGACGGUAGGUGCAGAAGAAGCGCCGGCUAACUACGUGCCAGCAGCCGC
rnacentral:rRNA from 1 species